UAAUUAAAUAUGCGGCUGACUCUCCAUGCUCUCGCUCGCUAGCAGCCGCACAGAAGAGAAGCGGCUGAGGCGAGGAAGGAAGGAGUCUAUCACAUCAUCUCUCUGUCCACAGGCUUUCCUUGGGGCUUAUGAAGAUUUCUUCGCACUAGCCCCUCUUCACCCGUCGGGACCGGAAGGAUGUGUGGAUUGAUGGCUUAAGAACAAAAUGAACUGGAAUUUUUUGAGUCCUUUGAGGCCUGCUCGGAUAUUUCCAUCCCUUCCUCCCAAGUCACCACCUCCUUCAGUGGAAUAGAAGGGGAUUGCAGAGGCAAAGCUAGGCUAGGUCUUGGAGGCUGGUGUAAGGCGG
rnacentral:lncRNA from 1 species